UACGUAGGGGGCAAGCGUUACUCGGAAUUACUGGGCGUAAAGGGUGCGUAGGCGGCUGGGCAAGUCAAGGAUGAAAUCCCGAGGCUCAACUUCGGAACUGUCCUUGAAACUGCUCAGCUUGAGGGUAGUUGAGGAGAGCGGAAUUCCCGGUGGAGCGGUGAAAUGCGUAGAUAUAUGGAGGAACACCAGUAGCGAAGGCGGCCAUCUGGCUGAUAACUGACGCUGAGGAGCGAAAGCUAGGGGAGCAAACGGG
rnacentral:rRNA from 1 species